rnacentral:sRNA from 1 species
AGCCAGUAAUGAAAUUAAACAACCAAUC